rnacentral:rRNA from 1 species
GAUGAACGCUGGCGGCGUGCUUAACACAUGCAAGUCGAACGAAGCGUCCCGCCCGAUGAAGUGGAGUGCUUGCACAAAGCAGAAUCAAUUGGGAUGACUUAGUGGCGGACGGGUGAGUAACGCGUGGGUAACCUGCCUUACACAGGGGGACAACAGUUGGAAACGACUGCUAAUACCGCAUAAGCGCACGGUAUCGCAUGAUACAGUGUGAAAAGAUUUAUCGGUGUAAGAUGGACCCGCGUCUGAUUAGCUAGUUGGUGAGAUAGAGGCCCACCAAGGCGACGAUCGGUAGCCGGCCUGAGAGGGUGGACGGCCACAUUGGGACUGAGACACGGCCCAGACUCC